CCAGCGCUGGUGUUAUUGGGA
rnacentral:miRNA from 2 species